rnacentral:tRNA from 1 species
UGGUGGCUCAGCGGUAAAGCGUCUGCCUGCAAAUGCAGGAGACACAGGUUUGAUCCCUGGUCCA